rnacentral:tRNA from 1 species
GGUGGGGUGGCUGAGCGGUUGAAAGCGCCUGAUUCGAAAUCAGGUAUACCUUAAAGGUAUCCAGGGUUCGAAUCCCUGCCCCACCGCCA